GGCGGAGCGGCUCCUUCUGCGGCCUCUUCGCUGAGAACUGAUUCCCAGAGGUCGCCAUUGACCGGUAAAGGUGGAAAACAGUCCGCAGCAGGAACCAAACAGACAGUCUGAGGUCGGGUCACACUGACAGCUCUGUCUGUCCUGAACGGUUCAUCCAGUUCCUGCUUCCUCGCAGAUCCAGCCUCCCUCCGGACCGCCGCUUCACUUCCAGCAUCACGGCUCCUCUCAGCGCGCCUCACACUAGCUCCAGCUUCAGAAGGCAGAUUCAGCUCAGUACGCCUCCACCUGCUGCUCCGGUGGAUGCUCCACCUCCUCAAACACGUACGGCGCUCCGGUGGAAGGCUUGUGGCCGUUUACCAGCGGUUCUGGCAGAACCUGCAGGUCCGCCGGAGCUGCAGUCAGGCCCUGUGGAUGUUUUUGAGCCUGAUGUAGCUCCGUAGCUGUGCUGUUACCUGAGAGGGCGGUGCACAUGGCGGCGAAGGCACUGAG